UGUAACUCGGUGGAAGAGGCGGCGGUAGUGACGAGGGGGCAAACGUUGAACGGAGUUGAAGGGCGUAAAGGGUGAGUAGGUGGCGCGGAAAGUCGAGUGUGAAAGCCCUGGGGUCAACCUGGGAAUUGCAGUCGAUACUGGUGAGCUAGAGUUCGGUAGAGGGUGACGGAAUUCCCGGUGUAGCGGUGAAAUGCGUAGAUAUCGGGAGGAACAUCGAUGGCGAAGGCAAUCACCUGGGCCUGAACUGACACUGAGACACGAAAGCGUGGGUAGCAAACAGGAUUAGAUACCCGAGUAGUC
rnacentral:rRNA from 1 species